UUGUAGGGCUUAAAACUUGAAGCUUUGAAGAUGCGAAAUAUGAUGCAUUGAAUAUAAUGGCGCGGUGAUAUUUCAAACUGAAGUGGUAGCUGUAUGAUAUAAACACAGUUCUUCAACCUCCAUGGCAGAAAUAGGCAAAUAGCAAUCAAAAGUUGACGGUAAAAGCAAUAUGGAAAUAGCAGAUAUAGCAACAAGCAGAACCAAGACAUAACUAAUUAACAGCAGCAAUGCCUACAGAAAAUAAUUGAAGUUUUUGCAAUUCUUGGUAGAAUAGGAAUUGUUUCUAUAUAUUUUCUUUCAAACAACUGGAAAUACCAUUUUAUAUUUAAGUUGUUGAAACCUUUAAUGUGUACACCAAGUUCUCGAUUGAUACAUUAUGGCCCAUGCAUAAAUUAUUGCCAAAAAAUCCACAUUCUUG
rnacentral:lncRNA from 1 species